AUUACGCCUAAAACGUCGUCGUU
rnacentral:siRNA from 1 species